rnacentral:lncRNA from 10 species
CCAAAUCAGGAGCUGGCCGGAAAGGCUGCAGUUUGCACUCCGACUGUUUCCAACUGUUCCCCGCACUUUGGAGUCCUCCCACCUGGGCACCGGGCCAUGGUGUGGACAGAUUGUGUAAUGAAGCGAAUGUAAGGAUGGAGUUGGAAGCACCUUCUGUGUCAUCAGUCUGCACCUUUUUUUGCAGAGGAGGAAACUGAAACAAAGGAAGAGAACUUGAUCAAGACCAUGUUGCCCCACAGUGGAAGAGCCAAGAUCCAAACCCAGGUAACCUGCCUCAUCAUCAGAGCCUGGACUCAUAACCUCAUGCUGCAGUUAAGCAGGUUUGCACUGUGGCUAGAUACACAGACUCUGUGUUCACAUCUCAGCUUCUCUGCUAUUUCCAUUUCUGUGACUGUAGGCAAGUUACUUCUCUGUGCUCAGUUUCCUCUAUAAAGUAAGGACAGUAGCACCUGCCUCA